UCAGAACUGAAGAUGUUUCUGGCCAGAGAGUUUGAUUCAUUAAAAGAACACUAAUAGCAACAUAAACUCAUGUGCCUUUACACACACAAAAAUAAUGUUUCCUGAUUCGUAACCCAUGUGGCUGAGAGGGUCUCUUCUUUGUGUUAAGAAGCUAGAAAAGCUCACUUGAGAUCAUCUUAAUGUUCACUUAAUUAAUAAUUGAGAUCCUAUUAAUCCAGAAAAGAGCCAUUUGAGGAUUUUUGCAGACAUUGCAGGUAUGGACUAGGGCUCUGUGUAUCUUCUCACAAUAUUGGAGGAUUUUAUGUGUACAAAGGCCUACUAGGAAUCUUCUGCCCUUGCCUCCUUCUCCGUCACACACCUACAGCUCUGCUUUCCCAAGUAAAAUAUUGGAGUUCCUGCUGUGGCUCAGUGGUAACAAACCCAACUAGUGUCCAUGAGGAUGCAGGUUUGAUCCCUGGCCUUGCUCAGUGGGGUUAAGGAUCUGGUGUUGCUGCAAGCUGAGGCAUAGGUAGCAGACACAGCUCAGAUCUGGCGCUGCUGUGGCGUAGGCCGGCAGGCAGCUACAACUCUGAUUCAACCCCUAGCCUGGGAAUUUCCAAACGCCACAGGAGCAGUCAUAAGAAGGAAAAACAAAAAAUCUGUGUUAAGACCUCAGGAAGUUUUAAGGUGUUGCUUCAUAGACCCUUUCAAGCAUACAAAGACCUGCAAACUAUAAGCUCAGACAGUAGCUUUGCAGAGACUAAGGCAGAGAAGGGCUAAAUGAGAUUUGUGGGUAUGGUUUUGCCUAAUGGAGUGGGUCAUAAAUUGAUUCUUAAGAAGCCUGCAAUGUUUUUUCCUUAAAGAACUAUGAUGAACUUAAACCAUAAGGGACAUCAGGCCUUCGAAUUCCCAAAGGGCAGGAAGCAGUCUAAGAGAGCAACUCAGCUGCAAAGAUGGGCUACUUUUAGUGGAAAAGGAAAAGUGCCCAAAGGGUAGACUCAAGAGCAGAUAUGGUGAAUGACUUCCAAGAAACAGAACUGAGUCCUCAUCAGGGAACUGGCAGCACACACUCAGGAGGAUUGCAGAACUGCUGUGAGCCAGGGACUACUCUGGGCUCCCCACUUUUCUCCCUUUUGAGCCUAAGUGUCUAUACCUUGACCCACUGCUGUAUUUUGGGUAUGGUGGGGAGAUGGCUUGUCUCUUGAGUCACAGGUGUUCAGAUUGGGUGGAGCUACCCUAGGGGAUAGUAGCCAGGGAGCCUCAGCCACAUGCUACCAUAGGAUCUGGAAGCAUGGAUCGAUGUCGGGAGACAUGUUUCUACAAUAUUUUCUUAGCCACUCUGUUUCUAUUUUCUUUGCUAAAACCUCCAUCUUGUCCUGCCUUACUUUACCCCAUCUUCCUGCUCGAAAAACAGUUGCAGUGCUGGUAAACGACUUAAGCUUAAGAACAAAGACCUAAAGGCAUAAGUUAUUCUUAGGGUCAGCUGAAUGAGGACAGGGAUGCCGGACCUGUGCAGAUGGGCACGCCUGUGCAGAUGGGCAGGGCGUCUGCACAACAUAUGUCCUAUCAAAAUAAGAGAAAGAGGAACCUCAUGGCCCCAAGUGGUUUAUGAAUGGUCAUUAGCAGAAUAUGCAUCAGCAAGGAGAACCAAGGUGCAAACCUAGGCACCCCAGGUUGCCGCAGAUAGACAUGCCCUUUGUGGAAGCACAAUGGUGAUUCUUGAGAUGCUAUGCACAGAUAGCCAAGCUUCCCCAAAUGCUAAUGAUUGUUAAAUGCCUAAAGGUCAGAAUAAAAGCUUAAUCAUCUACCAGCUGUGUGACUUCUAAAAUAAUAAAAGAACUUCUAAAAUAAUACAAAAAACUAUAUCCUACACCUAUAACCCCCUCCUCACUUGACGUCAUCCUAAAGAGCACAGUAAAAGCAGUGUGGUUUCUUGAGGCAGCACUCUUGGUCCCUGAGACCUUGAGUCCCCCAGUUCCCACCUUUACUUAAGAUAAAUGUCUCUGUGUCUUGUUUUAUGUUAACUUUUCCUUAAGUUUCACGGCACCCGUUCUUCCGCCCUCACCUGCUGAGCUGUCUCGGCAGAUGGAGAGGAGGGGGAGUGAGUAUAUCUUACAUGUAAGGGGAAAUGCAAAGAAUUCAUGUCCCAUGGGCCACCUGUGAAGUCUUAAAACAUGCCUGUGAAUUCGUUGAUGUUCUUCCCAACAAAAGAUAGAGCCCAAUUCCCCUUCCCUUGAAAGGGGCUUGCUUCUAACAAAUAGAAUAUGGCAGAAGGGAUCCUGUUUGACUUCUCAGGCAAGCUCACAAAAGGGGAGGCAGUUUUGCCUUGUUUCUUUUCUCUUGCCAGGUUUGCUUUGGAAUCCACUGACCCCUGUGGGAGGUGGGCCAGCAGCCACCAGGGAGGGCAGGGUGGAGGUGUUCUGGCCACAGUCCAGCUGCGGUCCCAGCCCAGGGCCACUCUUACCCGGCAACCUGUGAGUAGGAAGGUGAGUUUUCAGAUGUGGUCCCAGCGCAGAGAUGCCACGGGGAGCAAAGACAAACUGUCCUUGCCAACCCCAGCCAAAUUAUAAAUUCAUGAGGAAAAUGAAUGUAAUCAUUGAUUUAAGGCACUACUUUUUGGAGUGGUUUGUUAUGUGGCAACAGAUUAACUGGAUGUUGAUGUGCAAAUACCUGCUAGAAAUAUCCCCAUAUGCAAAUGCAACCUUGUAACAGUCACAAGAUUUUAGGCAUUAUAAAUUAUAAUUUCUUUAUGGUUCCCAGAUUUAUCACUUACUAAUUGUGGGACCUUUAGUAAGUCAGUCUCUUGAACUUCAGCGUCUGCAACUAUAAAAUGGAGAUGAAAGUACUUGUCUUAAAAAAAAUGAUUUAUGUUGUGAGAUAACGGAUGUUAGCUAAAAAAAAGUCAUUUAUGAAUAUUAUCUAGCAACGAGCAAAAGGAUGAUGUAUUGGAUUCACAUGAUUACAACGAUAAAAAUGUACAGAAAUAGAUGAAUUAGGUUAGUGGAAUUAAAAAUAUUUUUUUCCUUCUAUUUUCCAGAUUUCCUUAAAAUGAUUUACUUUAGUAAUAAAAAAUUAGAAAGUGUUCCCCAAAAUCCCAUUGCACACUCCCAGCCCAAACCCAGGGAAUAAGUCAAUGGUUAUUUCUUCUCAGUCUCCCUGCAGGUUAAACCAGGUAAAUGGUUUGGAAGAGAAACAGUGAUGAAACAGCUUCCUAUCUCUUGGAAUCUGGGGGUCAAUACAGGAUUGACCCCAGAACCCAGAUUACUUGCCUCCCCAGCUAGCACACUAUUUCUUCCACCUGUAACCUCACAGUACUAGUUUUCACCUGUAUAGGCUAAGCCACACGAAAUGCCUUUAUUUAAAUAACUGGAAGUCUCAGCCAUCUGAUCUUAGGAGGCAUAUAAUCCAGUGAUUAGCAGAGUCAGUCAAAAUGCAUGCAUUGGAAACCUGCCUCCAGCACGUAUUAUCUGGGGUUUUUGUAGAUGUGAAUAAUGAUACUGGGGGGAGAUCAUCCUGGAUUACAAGGGUGGACCCUCUAUCCAAAGACACAGACACACGCAGGUCAGGGGAAGAGAGAAGUUAUGUAGCCACAAACCAGGCAAAGUCUGGAGCCACAGAAGCAGGGAGAAGUGGGAACGGAGUCUCUCUUAGAUCCCAGAGGAAGGACAGCCCUGAGGACAACUUCUAGCCCUCUGAACUGCGAUAAUACAUUUCUGUUGUUUUAAGACACCAAGUUUGUGAUGAUUCAUUAUGGCAGCCCUACGAAUAUAAUGCAGUGGAAGAAUCUUGCAAAUCACAAGGAUGAAGGGAAAAAAUUCAAAUGACAAGAAAAAAACCAUUUAAAGCUUUAAAAACAUGUAAUGGAUACUUUGUAUUAUUUAUAGAUAUAUACAUAUUGACAAAAAGCAUAAAGAAAAUGGGAGGGAAUUCCCUGGUGGUCUCAUGGUUAGGAUUUGGUGCUUUCACCACUGCAGCCUAGGUUCAAUCCCCAGUCUGGGAACUGAGAUCCCACACCAACCCACUACACACUGUGG
rnacentral:tRNA from 1 species